rnacentral:piRNA from 1 species
UAAAAAUUGGACUAAUAAAAA